GUGUCAGCCGCCGCGGUAAUACGUAGGGUGCGAGCGUUACUCGGAAUUACUGGGCGUAAAGCGUGCGCAGGCGGCUGGUUAGGCGUGAUGUGAAAUCUUCCGGCUCAACCGGAAAACUGCAUUGCGAACCGGCCUGGCUAGAGUGCAGGAGAGGGAAGCGGAAUUCCAGGUGUAGCGGUGAAAUGCGUAGAGAUGUGGAGGAACACCAGUGGCGAAGGCGACUCUUUGGCCUGUAACUGACGCUGAGACGCGAAAGCGUGGGGAGCGAACAGGAUUAGAAACCCGCGUAGUCC
rnacentral:rRNA from 1 species